UCCCAUGUGGCUCAGUCGGUAGAGCAUGGUGUUUGCAAUGCCAGGGUUGUGGGUUUGAAUCCCAAAGGGGAC
rnacentral:tRNA from 1 species